UUGGUCCUACGGGACGCAGCAGUGGGGAAUAUUGCACAAUGGGCGAAAGCCUGAUGCAGCAACGCCGCGUGAGCGAUGAAGGCCUUCGGGUCGUAAAGCUCUGUCCUCAAGGAAGAUAAUGACGGUACUUGAGGAGGAAGCCCCGGCUAACUACGUGCCAGCAGCCGCGGUAAUACGUAGGGGGCUAGCGUUAUCCGGCAUUACUGGGCGUCAAGGGUGCGUAGGUGGUUUCUUAAGUCAGAGGUGAAAGGCUACGGCUCCACCGUAGUAAGCCUUUGCAACUGGGGAACUUGAGUGCAGGAGAG
rnacentral:rRNA from 1 species